GGGCGUAAGCGCGCGUAGGUGGCUAAGUCAGCCAGGUGUGAAAGCCCCGGGCUCAACCUGGGAACGGCAUCUGGAACUGCUUGGCUAGAGUGCAGGAGAGGAAGGUAGAAUUCCCGGUGUAGCGGUGAAAUGCGUAGAGAUCGGGAGGAAUACCAGUGGCGAAGGCGGCCUUCUGGACUGACACUGACACUGAGGUGCGAAAGCGUGGGUAGCAAACAGGAUUAGAUACCCUGGUAGUCCACGCCGUAAACGAUGUCAACUAGCCGUUGGGUCCCUUGAGGACUUAGUGGCGCAGCUAACGCAAUAAGUUGACCGCCUGGGGAGUACGGCCGCAAGGUUAAAACUCAAAUGAAUUGACGGGGGCCCGCACAAGCGGUGGAGCAUGUGGUUUAAUUCGAUGCAACGCGAAGAACCUUACCUACCCUUGACAUCCAGAGGACUUUCCAGAGAUGGAUUGGUGCCUUCGGGAACUCUGAGACAGGUGCUGCAUGGCUGUCGUCAGCUCGUGUUGUGAAAUGUUGGGUUAAGUCCCGUAACGAGCGCAACCCCUAUCCUUAUUUGCCAGCGAGUAAUGUCGGGAACUCUAAGGAGACUGCCGGUGACAAACCGGAGGAAGGUGGGGACGACGUCAAGUCAUCAUGGCCCUUACGGGUAGGGCUACACACGUGCUACAAUGGCAAGUACAAAGGGUUGCAAUACUGCGAAGUGGAGCCAAUCCCAUAAAGCUUGCCUCAGUCCGGAUUGGAGUCUGCAACUCGACUCCAUGAAGUCGGAAUCGCUAGUAAUCGUGGAUCAGAAUGCCACGGUGAAUACGUUCCCGGGCCUUGUACACACCGCCCGUCACACCAUGGGAGUGGACUGCACCAGAAGUGGUUAGCCUAACCUUCGGAAGGCGAUCACCACGGUGUGGUUCAUGACUGGG
rnacentral:rRNA from 1 species